ACGUUUGGGCGAGGCUACUGGAGGAGCUCCCCUCCCCCGCCCCUCAGCAUCCCCAUCCCCUGGAGUUCUGCUUUCUUGAAGGGUGUAGGAAGAAAGGCAGAAUGGGAACUUCCGCAGAGGCUGCAAUGUCCAUCGAAAAACAGUUUAAAGGGAGGAUGAGAACCUAUGUUCAGCCUCCCUUUCUUUUGUAGAUUAGGGAACCGAGGUCCGUAAUGUUUAAACAACUAGAUCAAUUUUUCUCGAGGUGAAUCGUAAUAAAACCUGAACAAAAUAAAACCCCACCACAGCCCUUAAUGCCUGCACCCUGCGGGACCCAUUCCUACACUCCGUGGCCUGGACAGGAAGUUGCUAUUUGCAUUUGGGAGAUUGCCAGCUCUGGGAUGAGGGUGAGAGUCAUCUUGGUUUCUCCAGGUCUGCGUGGAGCCAACAUUGUUGAUUUGAAUCCAGCAAAGAGCUGGACUUUGACUGUGGCGGCCAAGAUAGGGAUGGAGCCUUAUAUGAGUGAAACUUCACAAGUGGACAGAGCUUCUGUGGAAGAGUGCCCUCUUUAGAUACGCACAUAUUCAGAUAAUGCCGAAAAACUUAUCUGGAUAUUAGAGACAUUCCUGUGACCCUGUAAAUUUAUUGACACUUCAAAUGCAACAGCUGGGAAUCCAGCCUGGAAGAAAGAGAAAGGAGAAGAGAAACCAGAAGCAGUGACUGAGGCACAGGAGAGCUAAAGGAGAAAAAACUUUACUUAAUUUAUUCACAUUAUUGACUUUUCAAGUGGCCAGAAGACAAAAAAAAAUAUAUGCACUGGACUUAUGUACCAUAUCCUCUAAUACUUCGAGUAGUUACAUGGGCAGAUAAACUGAUACCUGUAUCAACUACAAAUUCAAAGCUCUUAGGAGGAAUACAGAAGUCUUAUAUGCAAGAACCAAAGACUGUUAUUAAUGUUAUAUAGGUAGUUACCCACAGGAAACCUAUAUGUUGAGAAGUGAAUGAUAUUAUGGAAAGGAAUGAUAACCUUGUUUAUGUCUGUCAAAAGCUGGUAUAUCAAAAUAAAAAGGUUGUGGAAAAUGUGGGGGUGA